UCAUAAAGGCGCAAGAACUUAAGAAAGAUUCCAAAUCAGAGAAGAGGCUGCUCUUAUAAAAAACCUUCUUUAUUUAUAUACGGUGAGGGAAACUCCAUGACGAAAACCUGGCUCCUCUUUGAACUCUACCUGAACACUUUUACCACGAGCUGCGUAGCUAGGCUGCUUGCCGAUAAAUAAUCCCAGACUCUCUCGAUUUAAAAGAAACCAAAAUGCUUCUUUUCCAAACCUCACAAUGUCAUGUACGCCGGUCAACAGCCUGUCGUUCUCUUCCUCCCGAUGUCCCUCUGGCGCAGAGUUUCUGCUGUUUUCUCCUAGACAUAAAACACGGACCAGCCGCCGAUGAAAGCCUCCUCUUUCUGGUUUUUAGUGGCCACCCCACCAAUUGUUCAGCCCCAAUUGGUCAGGUGUCAAAGCAGUGCUUUCUGGGAAAUGUAGUUCAGGCAAGAGCAGCCAUCUUGUUUCAACCUACCAUCCUCUUACAAUAUGUGUGUUGUAAAACACUGGUGUCAUAUACGCACGGCUCAUUGGAUCCAUUGCAGCCCCAGAGUGCUGGUCUUGAUGAGCAGACUCUGGCAUCCACAGAACGUACUGGUGGAAGGUGCUGCUAGGCUUGCAGCCUGCUCUACCUGUUUGGGUUGUUGACUGUGUCACCUCUUUCCCCUGGCAUUCCUCAUGUUGCAGACUUCCUGUCACCUGGGUGGAUGCACUCUCAGCAGGACCCGCAUGGAGACUGACAUGUGGCUGAGGGCCAGGAAGCGGAAAACCCAGCCAGCCUGGUAACCACUUCAGAAAGAGGAAGAUCGCGGGCUCGCUGGUGACGGCUUGGCUUCCUUCCUCCCUCCUCGCGCCGGGAGGCUGCAGCAGCUUCUCUCCGCUUCGCCUGCUUGCAGUCAAGUCCUAGAGGGGCCAGGCAGUCCGCGGCGCGGGUUCGAGACACCGGGACAGAGCCCGCUGGCACCAUGGCGUUCCGCUUCUCAGUUUUCCGGAAAACCAAAGGCAUGGCUGGUGAGUUCGACUUUUCUCUCCUGCUUUGGUCUCUGACCGUGCUCCCGAGCUCGGAUAGAGGGAAAGAGCAACAGGAUCUGGGGUCUCCGGCCCCUUAGAAAAUGUGCAGUCCUGAAGUUGUACUGCAGUGAGAAUUCUCCCGAUCAUUAAGAGAUUCAAUCUGCAGUGUGAAGGCAUGCUGUCGUUAUAUGUUCCAUAUAAUUCCUGGGAAUCGUAGGAUUGUUCAAAUGGGAGUUUAGAGACUGCCGGCAUGAGUUUAACCCCAAAUUACCUGUGCGGUACUGACGUCAUUCCUGAUCGAUAUUCAGUUUUCAAUCUA